rnacentral:lncRNA from 1 species
GCACCAAAGAACUCUUCCUUAAUACAACUCACCUCAUUUUCCCUUUUUCCCAUAAAAACCCUCAGCCCCUCUCCUGUAAUCAGGACACUAUUUGGGUUUCUACCCUAAUCUGUGCUCCCUGAAUUGCAAUUCUUUGAUCCCAGAUAAGCAUUUUGCCUCUUAAACUGGUCUCUGUUUUUGUAGGUUGACACAUGGUGCCAGAAAGCGGGACCUGAAGCGAUCCCUGGAAAUGGGUUUGGUACUAAAAUGAGACCGUUUGUGUGCUCCCCGCUUCCACGAACCAGCAGCUCCUCCAAUCGUUGACAUACCAAGGAGUGCAGUCAGCAGCCGCCCCAUUUCUAUGGAAUCAGCCUACAUUUUGGGUUUGGUUUUGAAUUCAC